AGAGUUUGAUCCUGGCUCAGAUUGAACGCUGGCGGCGUGCUUAACACAUGCAAGUCGAACGUGAAAGUCCUUCGGGGCGAGUAAAGUGGCGCACGGGUGAGUAACGCGUGGAUAAUCUACCCUUAAGAUGGGGAUAACGGCUGGAAACGGUCGCUAAUACCGAAUACGCUCCCGAUUUUAUCGUUGGGGGGAAAGAUGGCCUCUGCUUGCAAGCUAUCGCUUAAGGAUGAGUCCGCGUCCCAUUAGCUAGUUGGCGGGGUAACGGCCCACCAAGGCAACGAUGGGUAGCCGGUCUGAGAGGAUGACCGGCCACACUGGAACUGGAACACGGUCCAGACUCCUACGGGAGGCAGCAGUGGGGAAUAUUGCGCAAUGGGCGAAAGCCUGACGCAGCGACGCCGCGUGAGGGAUGAAGGUUCUCGGAUCGUAAACCUCUGUCAGGGGGGAAGAAACCCCCUCGUGUGAAUAAUGCGAGGGCUUGACGGUACCCCCAAAGGAAGCACCGGCCUAACUCCGUGCCAGCAGCCGCGGU
rnacentral:rRNA from 1 species